GACGAACGCUGGCGGCGUGCUUAACACAUGCAAGUCGAACGCGCCUGUCCUCUGGGUUGCUGGGGGGGGGGUGAGUGGCGAACGGGUGAGUAACACGUGAGUAACCUGCCCCCUUCUUCGGGAUAACGGUCGGAAAGUGCUGCUAAUACCGGGUAUUCACUGGGCUCCGCAUGGGGGCUGGUGGAAAGGUUUUUUUCUGGUGGGGGAUGGGCUCGCGGCCUAUCAGCUGGUUGGUGGGGGGAUGGCCCAACAAGGCUUUGACGGGUAGCCGGGCUGAGAGGGUGCACGGUAACAUUGGGACGGAGCUACGGCCCAGACUCCUACGGGGGGCAGCAGUGGGGACUAAUGCACCAUGGGUGAUAGCGUGAUGCAGCGUCGGCGCGUGAGGCAUGGAGGCCGUCGGGUUGUGAAGCUCUUUCGGAAGUGGUCAAGCCGAGACGUGGGUCGUGGUGACGGUAGUGGGUAAAGAAGCGCCGGCUAACUACGUG
rnacentral:rRNA from 1 species